rnacentral:rRNA from 1 species
UACGAACUGCGCAAACGUUAUUCGGAAUCACUGGGCUUACAGGGUGCGUAGGCGGUUCGCCAGGUCAGAUGUGAAAUCCCACAGCUCAACUGUGGAACUGCAUUUGAAACCUGCGAACUUGAGUAGACUAGAGGUACACGGAACUUCAGGUGGAGCGGUGAAAUGUGUUGAGAUCUGAAGGAACACCAGAGGCGAAAGCG